rnacentral:rRNA from 1 species
GGGAAUAUUGGACAAUGGGCGCAAGCCUGAUCCAGCAAUGCCGCGUGGAUGAAGAAGGUCUUCGGAUUGUAAAGUCCUUUCGGCGGGGACGAUGAUGACGGUACCCGCAGAAGAAGCCCCGGCUAACUUCGUGCCAGCAGCCGCGGUAAUACGAAGGGGGCUAGCGUUGCUCGGAAUGACUGGGCGUAAAGGGCGCGUAGGCGGACCACACAGUCAGACGUGAAAUUCCCGGGCUCAACCUGGGGACUGCGUUUGAGACGUGUGAUCUAGAGUGGGGAAGAGGGUCGUGGAAUUCCCAGUGUAGAGGUGAAAUUCGUAGAUAUUGGGAAGAACACCGGUGGCGAAGGCGGCGACCUGGUCCUUGACUGACGCUGAGGCGCGAAAGCGUGGGGAGCAAACA